GAACUGAAACAUCUAAGUACCCCGAGGAAAAGAAAUCAACCGAGAUUCCCCCAGUAGCGGCGAGCGAACGGGGAGCAGCCCAGAGCCUGAAUCAGUGUGUGUGUUAGUGGAAGCGUCUGGAAAGGCGCGCGAUACAGGGUGACAGCCCCGUACACAAAAAUGCACAUGCUGUGAGCUCGAUGAGUAGGGCGGGACACGUGGUAUCCUGUCUGAAUAUGGGGGGACCAUCCUCCAAGGCUAAAUACUCCUGACUGACCGAUAGUGAACCAGUACCGUGAGGGAAAGGCGAAAAGAACCCCGGCGAGGGGAGUGAAAAAGAACCUGAAACCGUGUACGUACAAGCAGUGGGAGCACGCUUCGGCGUGUGACUGCGUACCUUUUGUAUAAUGGGUCAGCGACUUAUAUUCUGUAGCAAGGUUAACCGAAUAGGGGAGCCGAAGGGAAACCGAGUCUUAACUGGGCGUUAAGUUGCAGGGUAUAGACCCGAAACCCGGUGAUCUAGCCAUGGGCAGGUUGAAGGUUGGGUAACACUAACUGGAGGACCGAACCGACUAAUGUUGAAAAAUUAGCGGAUGACUUGUGGCUGGGGGUGAAAGGCCAAUCAAACCGGGAGAUAGCUGGUUCUCCCCGAAAGCUAUUUAGGUAGCGCCUCGUGAAUUCAUCUCCGGGGGUAGAGCACUGUUUCGGCAAGGGGGUCAUCCCGACUUACCAACCCGAUGCAAACUGCGAAUACCGGAGAAUGUUAUCACGGGAGACACACGGCGGGUGCUAACGUCCGUCGUGAAGAGGGAAACAACCCAGACCGCCAGCUAAGGUCCCAAAGUCAUGGUUAAGUGGGAAACGAUGUGGGAAGGCCCAGACAGCCAGGAUGUUGGCUUAGAAGCAGCCAUCAUUUAAAGAAAGCGUAAUAGCUCACUGGUCGAGUCGGCCUGCGCGGAAGAUGUAACGGGGCUAAACCAUGCACCGAAGCUGCGGCAGCGACACUAUGUGUUGUUGGGUAGGGGAGCGUUCUGUAAGCCUGUGAAGGUGUACUGUGAGGUAUGCUGGAGGUAUCAGAAGUGCGAAUGCUGACAUAAGUAACGAUAAAGCGGGUGAAAAGCCCGCUCGCCGGAAGACCAAGGGUUCCUGUCCAACGUUAAUCGGGGCAGGGUGAGUCGACCCCUAAGGCGAGGCCGAAAGGCGUAGUCGAUGGGAAACAGGUUAAUAUUCCUGUACUUGGUGUUACUGCGAAGGGGGGACGGAGAAGGCUAUGUUGGCCGGGCGACGGUUGUCCCGGUUUAAGCGUGUAGGCUGGUUUUCCAGGCAAAUCCGGAAAAUCAAGGCUGAGGCGUGAUGACGAGGCACUACGGUGCUGAAGCAACAAAUGCCCUGCUUCCAGGAAAAGCCUCUAAGCAUCAGGUAACAUCAAAUCGUACCCCAAACCGACACAGGUGGUCAGGUAGAGAAUACCAAGGCGCUUGAGAGAACUCGGGUGAAGGAACUAGGCAAAAUGGUGCCGUAACUUCGGGAGAAGGCACGCUGAUAUGUAGGUGAAGUCCCUUGCGGAUGGAGCUGAAAUCAGUCGAAGAUACCAGCUGGCUGCAACUGUUUAUUAAAAACACAGCACUGUGCAAACACGAAAGUGGACGUAUACGGUGUGACGCCUGCCCGGUGCCGGAAGGUUAAUUGAUGGGGUUAGCGGUAACGCGAAGCUCUUGAUCGAAGCCCCGGUAAACGGCGGCCGUAACUAUAACGGUCCUAAGGUAGCGAAAUUCCUUGUCGGGUAAGUUCCGACCUGCACGAAUGGCGUAAUGAUGGCCAGGCUGUCUCCACCCGAGACUCAGUGAAAUUGAACUCGCUGUGAAGAUGCAGUGUACCCGCGGCAAGACGGAAAGACCCCGUGAACCUUUACUAUAGCUUGACACUGAACAUUGAGCCUUGAUGUGUAGGAUAGGUGGGAGGCUUUGAAGUGUGGACGCCAGUCUGCAUGGAGCCGACCUUGAAAUACCACCCUUUAAUGUUUGAUGUUCUAACGUUGACCCGUAAUCCGGGUUGCGGACAGUGUCUGGUGGGUAGUUUGACUGGGGCGGUCUCCUCCUAAAGAGUAACGGAGGAGCACGAAGGUUGGCUAAUCCUGGUCGGACAUCAGGAGGUUAGUGCAAUGGCAUAAGCCAGCUUGACUGCGAGCGUGACGGCGCGAGCAGGUGCGAAAGCAGGUCAUAGUGAUCCGGUGGUUCUGAAUGGAAGGGCCAUCGCUCAACGGAUAAAAGGUACUCCGGGGAUAACAGGCUGAUACCGCCCAAGAGUUCAUAUCGACGGCGGGGUUUGGCACCUCGAUGUCGGCUCAUCACAUCCUGGGGCUGAAGUAGGUCCCAAGGGUAUGGCUGUUCGCCAUUUAAAGUGGUACGCGAGCUGGGUUUAGAACGUCGUGAGACAGUUCGGUCCCUAUCUGCCGUGGGCGCUGGAGAACUGAGGGGGGCUGCUCCUAGUACGAGAGGACCGGAGUGGACGCAUCACUGGUGUUCGGGUUGUCAUGCCAAUGGCACUGCCCGGUAGCUAAAUGCGGAAGAGAUAAGUGCUGAAAGCAUCUAAGCACGAAACUUGCCCCGAGAUGAGUUCUCCCUGACUCCUUGAGAGUCCUGAAGGAACGUUGAAGACGACGACGUUGAUAGGCCGGGUGUGUAAGCGCAGCGAUGCGUUGAGCUAACCGGUACUAAUGAACCGUGAGGCUUAACCUU
rnacentral:rRNA from 1 species